CCUACGGGUGGCUGCAGUGAGGAAUAUUGGUCAAUGGGCGGAAGCCUGAACCAGCCAAGUAGCGUGCGGGAUGACGGCCCUACGGGUCGUAAACCGCUUUUGCACGGGAAUAAAACCCUCCACGUGUGGAGGUCCGCAAGUACCCUGCGAAAAAGCGUCGGCUAAUUCCGUGCCAGCAGCCGCGGUAAUACGGAGGGUGCGAGCGUUAUCCGGAUUUAUUGGGCUUAAAGGGAGCGUAGGCGGACGUUCAAGUCAGCGGUAAAAUCGCGCGGCUCAACCGCUCCGCGCAGUUGAAACUGGACGCCUUGAGUGCACAAGAGGCAGGCGGAAUGCGUGGUGUAGCGGUGAAAUGCAUAGAUAUCACGAGGAACCCCGAUUGCGAAGGCAGCAUGCCGGGGUGCGACUGACGCUGAGGCUCGAAGGUGCGGGUAUCAAACAGGAUUAGAUACCCGAGUAGUC
rnacentral:rRNA from 1 species